AAUGAACGUUGGCGGCGCGGAUUAGGCAUGCAAGUCGAGCGAGAACCGUAGCAAUACGGGGACAGCGGCGAAAGGGACAGUAAUGUGUAGGUACCUACCCCUGGGUUCGGGAUAGCUGCGGGAAACUGCAGGUAAUACCGAAUAACGUCUCCGGACCAAAGGUGUGAUUCCACCUGGGGAGGGGCCUGCAUCCUAUUAGCUUGUUGGCGGGGUAACGGCCCACCAAGGCGACGAUGGGUAGCGGGUGUGAGAGCACGACCCGCGUCAUUGGGACUGAGACACUGCCCAGACACCUACGGGUGGCUGCAGUCGAGGAUCUUCGGCAAUGGGCGAAAGCCUGACCGAGCGACGCCGCGUGCGGGAUGAAGGCCUUCGGGUUGUAAACCGCUGUCGUAGAGGAGGAAAUACAGGGGGGUUCUCCCCCUUGUUUGACCUAUUCUAGGAGGAAGUACGGGCUAAGUUCGUGCCAGCCGCCGCCGUAAAAC
rnacentral:rRNA from 1 species